rnacentral:tRNA from 1 species
AGGAUUUUAAGUUAUUUAAACUAGAAGCCUUCAAAGCCUCAAAAAAAAGUUAUCAUCCUUUUAAAUCCUA